rnacentral:sRNA from 1 species
ACCACAGAGCUGCAGUUGACCGAUGUGCUGCUUCUGCUGCAGAAACUAUUGACAGGAUUGUGUCCACCUUUGUUUUCCUUUCAGAAGUGCCUAACUGCCAGUCAUCCUACAUGAGAGGGGGUUAUUUCUCCAGCAGCCAUGAAGGAUUUUCAUAUGAAAAAGAUCCCCGAUUAUACUUUGACGACACUUGUGUUGUGCCUGAGAGACUGGAAGGCAAAGUCAAACAGGAGCCUACCAUGUAUCGAGAGGGGCCCCCUUACCAGAGACGAGGUUCCCUUCAGCUAUGGCAGUUCCUGGUCACCCUUCUUGAUGACCCAGCCAAUGCUCACUUCAUUGCCUGGACAGGCCGAGGCAUGGAGUUCAAGCUGAUAGAACCGGAAGAGGUUGCUCGGCGCUGGGGCAUCCAGAAGAACCGGCCAGCCAUGAACUAUGACAAGCUGAGCCGCUCUCUCCGCUAUUACUAUGAAAAGGGCAUCAUGCAGAAGGUGGCUGGAGAGCGAUACGUCUACAAAUUUGUCUGUGACCCAGAUGCCCUCUUCUCCAUGGCUUUCCCGGAUAACCAGCGUCCGUUCCUGAAGGCAGAGUCCGAGUGUCACCUCAGCGAGGAGGACACCCUGCCACUGACCCACUUUGAAGACAGCCCCGCUUACCUCCUGGACAUGGACCGCUGCAGCAGCCUCCCCUAUGCCGAAGGCUUUGCUUACUAAGUUUCUGAGUGGCGGAGUGGCCAAACCUUAGAGCUAGCAGUUCCCAUUCAGGCAAAC